rnacentral:lncRNA from 10 species
AAGCCUUAUAACUCUAUGUGAAAACCCUCACAGAAAGGGAGAAUUCCUUAUAGCUUUCUCUAUGUGAAAACCCUCCUGGGCUCAAGUGAUCCUCCUGUCUCGGCCUUCCAAAGUGCUGGAAUUAUAGGCAUGAGUCACUCUGCCUGGCCAUUGCAGAGGUCUUUACGCUUUCUUACAAUUUCUGUCUUCACACACCUUGAGCUUCAUUUUCAUUUUGCCACUGUAGAAAUAUAUAUUCCAUUUAUUUCAUUCCUAUGCUCUUGACAGGGAAGAUAGAAACAAUCUAGAUGCAGAAUUCCACCUGCUGUAUUAUUUAGCAACAUUAUACCAACAAGGAGAAGCAACAGACAAGCUCUUCCUUUUGUGAUCUUUCUCUGAAAUUCCUCACCUUUACUGAAUAAACCUCAAUUGAUUUGCGAGUUUUGGCUGUAACGGCACUAUUACUGUAAGGUCUAUGCCAUACUAUUAUAUUGAUAUUAGAUUAGUUUCUCCUGUUACAUUAAUGCCUUUUCAUCUCCUGUUUUUUUUUCUUGCAUCUCAUUCUUUUCUUCUUUCUAACAUACAUCUUUUAACAGUUGUUUCCAUAGGGAUCCUGGGUAGUAAACUCUCAUUUGUAUUAAUCUGAAAGUAAAAGUCUUUCUUCUAUCUUUACUGAAGAAUGAUGAGAGUUCAGCUUGGUACAGAAUUCUGAGUUGCCAAUGUUUUUCACUAAACUUUGAAGAUUUUACGCUACCAUAUUCUCACUACUGUUGUGGCAACUGAAAAGUCUGAUGUUGGCCUAAUUGUUAAUCCUUUACACGUAAUGUAUUUUUUCUCCCCAGCAGGUUGUUUUCUUUUUUAGAGACAGGGUCUCGCUCUAUUGCCCAAGCUGGAGUGCAGUGGCACAAUCAUAGCUCACUACUGCCCUGAAGCCCUUAGCUAAGGUCAAGGGAUACUCUCGCCUUCGACUUCUGAGUAGCCAGGACUACAUGUACACACCACACCUGACGUGAAAAGUGAAGUGUAAGGAAGUUGAAUACGUUCCCAGGAUCACGCGACUCAUAGUCUCGAAGCCCACGCUCCAUAGAGGAAAUUUUUGAAUCCUGAAGACAAUGGAAGAUUUAGUGAUUGAAGUAUUCACAAAAACCCAGAAAAGCUGAAUAACAUGAUAUUUAAAGAAGUUACAUUUAAUAAAGAUAGACAAAUAUACAGAAAAAAUGCUGUCUGGCAAUUGGUGCCUUG